UCUAUAACUCCAUAUAUGAGUUGAACAUCGAACAAUGUCUAGGCUGCAAGAUAGAUUCAUGCUAAGAUUUGAACUUAAAAAUAACAAUAUUGAGUUUUGGGCUUUUCAUGAAUGUUUUAGGCUUCCGUUUUAACUUUUUAUC
rnacentral:pre_miRNA from 1 species